AUUGAACGCUGGCGGCAGGCCUAACACAUGCAAGUCGAACGAGUGGCGGACGGGUGAGUAAUGUCUGGGAAACUGCCCGAUGGAGGGGGAUAACUACUGGAAACGGUAGCUAAUACCGCAUACCAUCGGAUGUGCCCAUAUGGGAUUAGCUAGUUGGUGGGGUAACGGCUCACCUAGGCGACGAUCCCUAGCUGGUCUGAGAGGAUGACCAGCAAAACUGGAACUGAGACACGGUCCAGACUCCUACGGGAGGCAGCAGUGGGGAAUAUUGGACAAGGGGGGAAAGCCUGAUGCAGCCAUGCCGCGUGUGUGAAGAAGGCCUUCGGGUUGUAAAGUACUUUUAGCGAGAAGGCGGUACUUGCAGAAGAAGCACCGGCUAACUACGUGCCAGCAGCCGCGGUAAUAC
rnacentral:rRNA from 1 species